GCAACUCGCCUGCAUGAAGUCGGAAUUGCUAGUAAUCGCAGAUCAGCAUGCUGCGGUGAAUACGUUCCCGGGCCUUGUACACACCGCCCGUCACACCAUGGGAGUCGGUAACACCCAAAGUUGGUAGCCUAACCGCAAGGAGGGCGCCGCCUAAGGUGGGAUUGAUGACUGGGGUGAAGUCGUAACAAGGUACC
rnacentral:rRNA from 1 species